GUCAGUAUAGCUCAGUUGGUUAGAGCAUAGCACUCAUAAAGCUAAGGUCGGUGGUUCGAUCCCACCUACUGACA
rnacentral:tRNA from 1 species